UUUGAUCAUGGCUCAGAGUGAACGCUGGCGGCGUGCCUAAUACAUGCAAGUCGAACGGAGAUUAAGUAGCUUGCUAUUUAAUCUUAGUGGCGCACGGGUGAGUAAUAUAUAGCUAAUCUGCCCUACACUAGAGGACAACAGUUGGAAACGACUGCUAAUACUCUAUACUCCUUCUUUACAUAAGUUAAGUCGGGAAAGUUUUUCGGUGUAGGAUGAGGCUAUAUCGUAUCAGCUAGUUGGUAGGGUAACGGCCUACCAAGGCUAUGACGCGUAACUGGUCUGAGAGGAUGAUCAGUCACACUGGAACUGAGACACGGUCCAGACUCCUACGGGAGGCAGCAGUAGGGAAUAUUGCUCAAUGGGGGAAACCCUGAAGCAGCAACGCCGCGUGGAGGAUGACACUUUUCGGAGCGUAAACUCCUUUUCUUGGGAAAGAAUUAUGACGGUACCCAAGGAAUAAGCACCGGCUAACUCCGUGCCAGCAGCCGCGGUAAUACGGAGGGUGCAAGCGUUACUCGGAAUCACUGGGCGUAAAGGACGCGUAGGCGGAUUAUCGAGUCUCUUGUGAAAUCUAACGGCUUAACCGUUAAACUGCUUGGGAAACUGAUAAUCUAGAGUAAGGGAGAGGCAGAUGGAAUUCUUGGUGUAGGGGUAAAAUCCGUAGAGAUCAAGAAGAAUACCCAUUGCGAAAGCGAUCUGCUGGAACUUAACUGACGCUAAUGCGUGAAAGCGUGGGGAGCAAACAGGAUUAGAUACCCUGGUAGUCCACGCCCUAAACGAUGUAUACUAGUUGUUGCUUCGCUAGUCGAGGCAGUAAUGCACCUAACGGAUUAAGUAUACCGCCUGGGGAGUACGGUCGCAAGAUUAAAACUCAAAGGAAUAGACGGGGACCCGCACAAGCGGUGGAGCAUGUGGUUUAAUUCGAAGAUACGCGAAGAACCUUACCCGGACUUGAUAUCUAACAAAUCAUCCAGAGAUGGAAGAGUGUCUGCUUGCAGAAAUGUUAAGACAGGUGCUGCACGGCUGUCGUCAGCUCGUGUCGUGAGAUGUUGGGUUAAGUCCCGCAACGAGCGCAACCCACGUCAUUAGUUGCUAACGGUUCGGCCGAGCACUCUAAUGAGACUGCCUUCGUAAGGAGGAGGAAGGUGUGGACGACGUCAAGUCAUCAUGGCCCUUAUGUCCGGGGCGACACACGUGCUACAAUGGCGUAUACAAUAAGACGCAAUAUCGCGAGAUGGAGCAAAUCUAUAAAAUACGUCCCAGUUCGGAUUGGAGUCUGCAACUCGACUCCAUGAAGCCGGAAUCGUUAGUAAUCGUAGAUCAGCCAUGCUACGGUGAAUACGUUCCCGGGUCUUGUACACACCGCCCGUC
rnacentral:rRNA from 1 species